CCCCCCAGGAUAGAGAACGGGUUUGUAAAGGGGGAAGAUUUCCUGUUUGGGACAACUGUAGAGUUCUCCUGUCGUGCUGGGUAUAAAUUAGAAGGGUCAUCUUCUGCCCAAUGUGUGGCAUCAGGAAAUGGAGUUCGUUGGGAUGUAUCUCUUCCAACCUGUAAAAGUGGAGCGGCCACCAUCAUUGUUGGCAUCCUGCCCCUCCUCCUGGCGUUGCUGGUUAUGAGUUUCUAGAUCAGGGUGCAGCCGCAGCGGGAAUGCCCGGAUCAGCUCCUCGGGGAGCUCUGAGCUCCUACUGAUGGUGGGACAUGGUCACGCUGAUCCCUGUGCUCUGUAUUGCCCUCUGGUGAAAUGGGCCUCGUAAUAGCAAUCAACAGAUCUUCGAUGGAAAAAGAUGAACUUUACCCCCAAAUGCUCCCUCCCACUGCCCAGGACUGCUCAUGCUUCUGUCUGCCGGAGCCGUGCUUUGUGCUGGCAGCUCGCUGUCACCUAGCUUGGGCCACGGCUUGGAAACUGGGCACAGUUAUCCCCACGUGAGGUUGCAAUAGUGCCAAAGACUUUUGUGCUGUGCUGCUCUGGACUCAAGGAAAUCGGGCACUUUGGGUACCUCCAUGUGUUCUGCUUAUCAGCCCUGCUGAGGUAACGUUGUACCCGGCUCUGAUCAGGGUUUUUGGGUGUCAUAAGUGAAUUGAUGGGAAAAAUGUGAGUGUCUUUCUGUGAGUGAUAUGUACUUGAAGAAAUUAAGUUUGAUAUGUAUAGGUUGUGUAAGACAGGUGUUCCCUGUCGGUACUGAAAGCACUGAAAACAUUUGUAUAGAAGCACAUGUUGUAGCAUUUACUUCAAGGCAAGUCUGAACCACUGUGAAAAACAGCAGGCCUUACAGAUGGACAAUUUUACCAGAGAAUAAAACUGUGAAUGCCUUCUUACAAAGAACAACUCCUCCGACUCUUCCUGUAUGUGCUAAAGUUAGUGCCACAGCAGAUUCAAAAACUAUCUCUGUGAUACAUCAAGGUUUUCCUCUGACUGCCUUGCAGAAAUACCCUUCCUGUCAGUGCAGUGACUCAGUGCUGCUGUGGAAGUGGUGAAGCAGUCGGGUGCCUGAAAGCCCCAGGAGGAACAGCAGCAGGGUGGGUGCUCAGCAGGGCAGGUGGCCUCGGGGACAAAUGUGGAACUUGCAGCUGUCUCUGCAGAUGCCACCGAACGUCAGAAAGUGUCAGAAAGUUGCUCGGUGUGAACUUCUUCACUUUCUGCUCAAAUGCUGCCCGAAUAGGAGGCCCUGGGACUGCUGCAGUGGUGAAGGAGGAAAAGCAGGUUAGGGCUUCUCGCUCUGCUGGCAGCGGGGCUGGUGCACAGAGCAGCUGCUGCACCUGAAAGUUGGCACAGAUGCACACCAAGCGAAAGCCUCAGUUUACUCAUCUGGGGGGAACAAAUGCUGCAUUUUUGUGUGUGCUUUUCUGUCACCCUGUUGAACCUGUCCCACCUGGUCCCUGUGCUGAGGAGGGCUGGUGAGGGUGCUGCGCCCAGCUGAAUGAGGCAGCGUGCUGCCGCUGGGCAUGCUGGCCCCUGCUUGGCUUUGGCAGUGCCACAAGGACAGCUCUGGUGGUGGAACCUCACACCUUGUAUGGACUGAGGAUACGGGCUUAAGGUUCAGGGCUCUGAUAGGGAGGGUUAAAUGACCAGUCUGUGAGCUUUGUACCAUGGGCAGGUGGGAGAGGGAAGCCUUCAAAAUGUCUAGUACAUGCUUUUUUGUUUCUGCAUUUUCACCCGUGCUUUUCUACUAACAGGAACAUGCAUCUAAAUAGAGGGAAAAACGCAAAGAACGAUUUCCAUCAACAUGUUAGCCUCAAAUAGAAAAGUUCCCCUUACAAGCAGAGCAUCAUCCUGCUCAGCUGUCACUGUGGCACAGCAGAAUCCAGUUUUCGGAAGUAAUCUUACAAAAUAAGCAGUUGCAGAUUGUGUUUUCACUCAUAUUCAUGCAUUUGACAUAUAUAUACACAUGUAUGUGAAAUAUGUGAAUAUGUAUUUCACUAUAUAGAUGUGUGUAUAUAUAUGAAAAAUACUACUGUAAGCCACGCGAAUGACCAGGUGAUCAAAACAAAUGGAAAGCCUAGUACCUUAGUCAUGUGUUUGGUUUUAUUUUAAUCUCAGCACCAUUGUUUCUACUGCAUAGUCCAGAAAUUGUCUUGCAAAUGGUUUAGCUCCUGAUUUUAAGGAUGAGCUUGAAGUGACCUACCUUCAGCCCAAUGGAAGGAACUGUACAUGCUGUCAUAUUGCUUACAGAUGUGGUCACCAAAUUUUACGGUUGAAGAGCACUUCUAUGCUGUGUUUAUAUGUGAAUCGAAUUAAGUUGUGUAUAAUUUAACUUUAUGAUCUGAGUGUAAACCAUAUAAUGCAUAAUGUCAAAAUUGCAUGGUGUGGAAGGUCUCUGUCAAUAAAAGGGAUAAGAAAGACU